rnacentral:rRNA from 1 species
UACGGAAGGUCCGGGCGUUAUCCGGAUUUAUUGGGUUUAAAGGGAGCGUAGGCCGUUCCUUAAGCGUGUUGUGAAAUGUAGGCGCCCAACGUCUGCACUGCAGCGCGAACUGGGGGACUUGAGUACGCGGGAAGCAGGCGGAAUUCGUCGUGUAGCGGUGAAAUGCUUAGAUAUGACGAAGAACUCCGAUUGCGAAGGCAGCCUGCUGUAGCGCCACUGACGCUGAUGCUCGAAAGCGUGGGUAU